GCAGAGAAUAGUUUAAAGAGAAUUUCAGCUUUGGGUGCUGGUGGUGGGGUAUAGACUCU
rnacentral:tRNA from 1 species